UACGAAGGGGGCUAGCGUUGCUCGGAAUCACUGGGCGUAAAGGGUGCGUAGGCGGGUCUUUUAAGUCAGGGGUGAAAUCCUGGAGCUCAACUCCAGAACUGCCUUUGAUACUGAGGAUCGUUGAGUUCGGGAGAGGUGAGUGGAACUGCGAGUGUAGAGGUGAAAUUCGUAGAUAUUCGCAAGAACACCAGUGGCGAAGGCG
rnacentral:rRNA from 1 species